rnacentral:lncRNA from 1 species
UUCCUAAACCACCUUAUUCCCCAAGCCCUAAACCGCCUUACGUGCCAAAACCACCUCAUACUCCAGUCCCUAGGCCACCAUAUUUCCCCAAACCACCUUACACACCAAGGCCUAAGCCACCAUAUGCGCCAAAACCACCUUAUACGCCAACCCCUAAGCCACCAUAUUUCCCCAAACCACCUUACACACCAAGGCCGAAGCCACCAUAUGUGCCAAAACCACCUUAUACGCCAGCCCCUAAGCCACCAUAUUUUCCCAAACCACCUUACACACCAAGGCCUAAGCCACCAUAUGCACCAAAACCACCUUAUACGCCAACACCUAAGCCACCAUAUUUCCCCAAACCACCUUACACACCAAGGCCUAAGCCACCGUACGUGCCAAAACCACCGUACACACCAAGGCCUAAGCCACCGUACGUGCCAAAACCACCAUACACACCAACCCCUAAGCCACCGUACGUGCCAAAACCACCUUACACCCCAACCCCUAAGCCACCGUACGUGCCAAAACCACCGUAUACCCCAACUCCUAAGCCACCGUACGUCCCAUCGCCACCUUAUACCCCUCGCCCUAAACCACCGUAUGUACCAUCACCACCUUAUACCCCUAGCCCUAAACCACCGUAUGUGCCAUCACCACCAUAUACCCCAAGCC